UACGGGGGGGGCAAGCGUUGUUUGGAAUUACUGGGCGUAAAGGGCUCGUAGGCGGCCAACUAAGUCCGACGUGAAAUCCCCAGCUUAACCUUGGAACUGCGUCGGAUACUGGAUGGCUUGAAUUCGGGAGAGGGAUGCAGAAUUCCAGGUGUAGCGGUGAAAUGCGUAGAUAUCUGGAGGAAUACCGGUGGCGAAGGCGGCAUCCUGGACCGACAUUGACGCAUGAAACCGAAAGCUAGGGGAGCAAACGGG
rnacentral:rRNA from 1 species